rnacentral:rRNA from 1 species
AUUGAACGCUGGCGGCAGGCCUAACACAUGCAAGUCGAACGAGUGGCGGACGGGUGAGUAAUGUCUGGGAAACUGCCUGAUGGAGGGGGAUAACUACUGGAAACGGUACCUAAUACCGCAUACCAUCGGAUGUGCCCAGAUGGGAUUAGCUAGUAGGUGGGGUAAAGGCUCACCUAGGCGACGAUCCCUAGCUGGUCUGAGAGGAUGACCGGCCACACGGGAACUGAGAGACGGGCCAGACGCCUACGGGAGGCAGCAGUGGGGAAUAUGGCACAAUGGGCGAAAGCCUGAUGCAGCAAUGCCGCGUGUAUGAAGAAGGCCUUCGGGUUGUAAAGUACUGUCAGCGGGGAGGCGUUAGCCGCAGAAGAAGCACCGGCUAACUCCGUGCCAGCAGCCGCGGUAAUUC